rnacentral:lncRNA from 1 species
UCUCAGUAUUUAUAAGUUCAUCAAAUAGCGGUCAAGACAUUUAUGUCCAAUUUAAUUAGAGCAUCUCCAACCGAUACGUCAAAAGUGCCACAUAAACAUUUAACGGUUAGAAAUAACAUCUCACAUCACUCCAACCGAAUUGUCAAAGCUGAUGUGGAAUAAAGGCUGGAGGUUCAGCAGUUGGUUUUGACAUCCCAAAAGCAAGAUGUCAAAUGAAUAUUUUAUUAUUUUUUAAAGACAGCUGGUUGUUACUUUUAUUUAUUAUUUUCCUUCUUUUUUUCUUUUUUUUUCUUCUUUAUCUUAAAUGAAUUGACUGUUACAAUAAUUAUUUAUUUGACAUAUCGGGUGGAGUGUAAAACUGUGUAAAUAUCAAAUUGUCACAUCAACCAUCAAAUUUUAAUUUGAUGUUUGGUGUUUGAGAUCUCCCUUGAAAAUGCUCUUAAAAUAGUCCACUUCAAUCCGAAUCACGAAGCGUGACCUUAAUAUAAGUUUGAAUAGUUCUCUUGUCGUUUUCCAUUUUGGUUCGCAUCCCUUCUAUGACUAUCAUUUUCAGAACACUAAAUUACCUCACGUUCGAC